rnacentral:rRNA from 1 species
UCCUGACUGACCGAUAGUGAACCAGUACCGUGAGGGAAAGGCGAAAAGAACCCCGGCGAGGGGAGUGAAAAAGAACCUGAAACCGUGUACGUACAAGCAGUGGGAGCACGCUUAGGCGUGUGACUGCGUACCUUUUGUAUAAUGGGUCAGCGACUUAUAUUCUGUAGCAAGGUUAACCGAAUAGGGGAGCCGAAGGGAAACCGAGUCUUAACUGGGCGUUAAGUUGCAGGGUAUAGACCCGAAACCCGGUGAUCUAGCCAUGGGCAGGUUGAAGGUUGGGUAACACUAACUGGAGGACCGAACCGACUAAUGUUGAAAAAUUAGCGGAUGACUUGUGGCUGGGGGUGAAAGGCCAAUCAAACCGGGAGAUAGCUGGUUCUCCCCGAAAGCUAUUUAGGUAGCGCCUCGUGAAUUCAUCUCCGGGGGUAGAGCACUGUUUCGGCAAGGGGGUCAUCCCGACU